rnacentral:miRNA from 1 species
UGGAAGACUAGUGAUUUUGUUGUUUUGUUGUUAAACCGACAACAAGUCAUUGUCUCCCGCGCUGC